GGAAAUGUGGCUCAGUGGUAGAGCGCUUGCCUAGCAUGCAUGAAGCCCUGGUUUUGAUUCCACAGUACUA
rnacentral:tRNA from 1 species